rnacentral:rRNA from 1 species
CUACGGGUCGCUGCAGUGGGGAAUUUUGGACAAUGGACGCAAGUCUGAUCCAGCCAUUCCGCGUGCAGGACGAAGGCCUUCGGGUUGUAAACUGCUUUUGUACAGAGCGAAAAGGUCUCUAUUAAUACUAGGGGCUCAUGACGGUACUGUAAGAAUAAGCACCGGCUAACUACGUGCCAGCAGCCGCGGUAAUACGUAUGGUGCAAGCGUUAAUCGGAAUUACUGGGCGUAAAGCGUGCGCAGGCGGUUAUAUAAGACAGAUGUGAAAUCCCCUGGCUCAACCUGGGAACUGCAUUUGUGACUGUAUAGCUGGAGUGCGGCAGAGGGGGAUGGAAUUCCGCGUGUAGCAGUGAAAUGCGUAGAUAUGCGGAGGAACACCGAUGGCGAAGGCAAUCCCCUGGGCCUGCACUGACGCUCAUGCACGAAAGCGUGGGGAGCAAACAGGAUUAGAUACCCUUGUAGUC